rnacentral:lncRNA from 1 species
GCCUGACAUACACGGUGCCUGACAUACACGAUGCCUGACAUGCACAAUGCCUGACAUACACGGUGCCUGACAUACACGGUGCCUGACAUGCAUGGUGCCUGACAUACACGGUGCCUGACAUGCACAACGCCUGACAUGCACGGUGCCUGACAUGCACAAGGCCUGACAUACACGAGCCUGACAUGCACGGUGCCUGACAUACACGGUGCCUGACAUGCACAAUGCCUGACAUACACGGUGCCUGACAUGCACGGUGCCUGACAUGCACGGUGCCUGACAUGCACAAUGCAUGACAUACACGGUGCCUGACAUACAUGGUGCCUGACAUACAUGGUGCCUGACAUGCACGGUGCCUGACAUACACGGUGCCUGACAUGCACAAUGCCUGACAUACACGGUGCCUGACAUACAUGGUGCCUGACAUGCACGGUGCCUGACAUACACGGUGCCUGACAUGCACAAUGCCUGACAUACACGGUGCCUGACAUGCACGGUGCCUGACAUGCACAGUGCCUGACAUACACGGUGCCUGACAUACACCGUGCCUGACAUGCACGGUGCCUGACAUGCACAAUGCCUGACAUACACAGUGCCUGACAUACACGGUGCCUGACAUGCACGGUGCCUGACAUACACGGUGCCUGACAUGCACAAUGCCUGACAUACACAGUGCCUGACAUACACGGUGCCUGACAUGCACGGUGCCUGACAUGCACGGUGCCUGACAUACACGGUGCCUGACAUGCACGAUGCCUGACAUGCACGGUGCCUGACAUGCACACGGUGCCUGACAUACACGGUGCCUGACAUGCACAAUGCCUGACAUACACGGUGCCUGACAUACAUGGUGCCUGACAUGCACGGUGCCUGACAUACACGGUGCCUGACAUGCACAAUGCCUGACAUGCACGGUGCCUGACAUGAACAAUGCCUGACAUACACAGUGCCUGACAUACACGGUGCCUGACAUACACGGUGCCUGACAUGCACAAUGCCUGACAUACACGGUGCCUGACAUAAACGGUGCCCGACAUACACAAGGCCUGACAUACACGGUGCCUGACAUGCACAAUGCCUGACAUGCACAAUGCCUGACAUACACGGUGCCUGACAUGCACAAUGCCUGACAUACACGGUGCCUGACAUACACGGUGCCUGACAUGCACAAUGCCUGACAUGCACAAUGCCUGACAUACACGGUGCCUGACAUGCACAAUGCCUGACAUACACGGUGCCUGACAUACACGGUGCCUGAUAUGCACAAUGCCUGACAUACACGGUGCCUGACAUACACGGUGCCUGACAUGCACAAUGCCUGACAUACACGGUGCCUGACAUGCACAAUGCCUGAC